AGCUUUGUGCAGUGGCGAUAUUGUAACCAAUGAGGUUUCACCGAGGUGCGAUUAUUGCUAGUUGAAAAAAAUCCUAUUGAAUAAUGUAUCAUGUUUUCUACGAGGAAUUUGAAUCUGAUAAUCGUUUUAUAUUAUUAUGA